GGAUGCGGCCAUACCAGCACUAAAGCACCGAAUCCCAUCAGAACUCCGAAGUUAAGCGUGCUUGGGCGAGAGUAGUACUAGGAUGNUAGUGUAUAUAGGGCAUUAUCCA
rnacentral:rRNA from 1 species